UCUUUUCUCUGCAGCUCUGAUCUCCUUGGCGUUUCUCUCGGCACGCUCGUUCCUGAAGAGGAAAAGGGGCAGAUCGUCCAGCCCCCUGGGCUCUUCCUCUCCUCUUCCCGUUUAGAUGAAACCUGCACUCCAUAAGGACAAACCGAGAGUGAAAAAAAAAAAAAUAGAGCAGAACAGAGAAAAAUGAAGAAAAAGACAGCACAGAGACAGAAAAGACCAGCUGAGGACCUCACUCUCGGGACCAGCUCACGGUCCCUCAGCUCGAGAACCCCACAGCUCAGCAAGAUCCUCUCUCACACGUUUCCCCUCAGCUCAUUCUUCUUUCCCCCACGACUCCCUCAGCUCGUCCUCCCCCAACUCCCAGACGCCUUCAGCUCCCUCUUACUCUCUUUCUCUCAGCUCUCACUCCAUCAGCUCACUUUCUGGCCCCCAUCCGAACCCGCAGCUCAACUCUUUUUUUUUUUUUUUCACGUAAAGACUCCCCUAACAGCACACGGUGGACCCGACACCCUCUUCCCCCUCAACUCACCGCAUGUGCCUCUCGGCCCUCCUGACCAACCCACUCCGAGCAUUCUCUUUCCCUCAGACUCUCCCUCUCUCUCCAUCAGCAACCGUUGUGGUUGCGGCUCCCUGAGUUGCCAUUCUCCCAGUCCCGGAGUUGAGUUGCCAGGCCGCCCGAGUUGCAGCCCGUUGCUGCCUCUUCCUCUUCCUUUUGCAGGUCUUUGUGGCUCUUGGACGUUGUCGGAGUUCAUUAUCGACGUUCAUCGCGCCUUGGAGUCAUCCAUUGCCGUUUUCAGCUGGAUAGUGAUCAACUAUCGUCACCAGGGGCGGAGCCAAUGAAGAAGCAGGGGGGCAAUUGCCCCCUGAACUUUGAAACUUUUAACUUUUGCCCCCAAAGUAUGAGAUUUUUUUAUAUAAAAUUAGUACUUUGCUCCCCCUGAACUUUAAAUUUUUUAAAUUUUACUCCAAACGUAUAAGUUUGCCCCCUGGAUAAAAAUCUUGGCUUCGCCCCUGAUCGUCACUACCACGGUCUGGACGCCCUGUCCUCGAGCUGUAGCCGCCAUCAUGGGAGCUUCCAGUCGCGUCCAGCCGCUGUUUUCGCCUCCUCUGGUCUUUCCCAAGCUAAGUAUACUGCCUGGUUUCUUUCUUUGCGUUUCCUGUUUGCUUGCUUGCAUUACCUGUCGUGCCCUUCGUAUUCUUUGUUUUUUUACUCUUCCUGGCAGUUGAGCUCCGCUGCCCCUUUCCUUGCCAUUGGAAUAUCCAUGAACAGCCCAUAACCGGUUGGUUCGAGAGGUCUUCAAAGUUCCCCGAGUUCCUCCCAAUUCUAGCUCGGGAGAGGUAAAAUUCUCGACUUUAGCGGCAUGCCUAGGACUCCCCUUGAUGUGUUUGUAUGAUAACUCGAAGAACGAGCGGAAAAGUGGGUCUUGCAAACCAUGGUGAUGAGCAGGAAUUUUUCAAACUCGAUUUCACAAAGUUUUCAGGAUGUUUCAGUUCAGUCCUUACAAGCUUUCGCUGUUUUCAGAAUCAACACAAAACUGUCCGAUCUGCUUCAACAUAGUCCUGGACCAUUUUCAGCAUUUUCAAUUCAGCCACUGAACUUCCAGACAAUUUAGAUCAGUCCAGAGAACUUCUAAUCAAUUUCCAGUUCAGUCCCUGACUUUCUUAACAAAUCCAGAAUGGUCCCUGACCGACGUUUUACAUUUUCAAAGUUACCCAUGACUUUUGAGCUGUUCCAAAUCAGUCCCUACGACCUUAACCGAAUUUUCAAAUCAGCCCCAAUUUUCUUGAAAUUGUUCAAUUUAGUCUUUGGAUAUUUUCCUUCAAAGUUUCCAAGUUUAAAUGAGAUCUCCAACCAUUUCUGCUUGGGUCCCUGAACGGUUUCUCACUUCCAACCCUUCUCCUCUUCGAUAUUAAUCAUUUCCCGAGUUUUUACAUUAUCUCGUUUCAUGAGUCAGUGUCGUUUAUCGAUUUCGUCAAUAUCUUGCUUGUGCAUGCUUAUAUGUUCAUAUGAGUUUUUCGAGACCAUGGCGGCACCGACUAUGUAAAAUAUGCGUGUUGAUCGUGUUUGAUACUUGAGCAUGCGAGAGUAGUCGGAAUCGGGUUAGAGAGACCAUCUAAGACCCGAAACGGGUCAAGGAGGCUCACGGCCAUUCUCUUGAGGAAAGAGCCGAAAAUCCCUUGGCCUUGUUUGGGUCAAGGACGGCCUCUUUACCUCAGUGAAAUCCUCUUCUCGCAUUGUGUGCAAUCACAUUUCUAACAUUGUUGCAAAUCGAGCUUUAAAAUGCUUGUUAAAACAUUAUUUUCCAAAUAAAGUGCAUAGAUUCGUGUAUAGGUGACUUUUGCAGGCCCACGAGGGUCUUAGGGUAUUUCGAUCAUUUUAAUUGGGCUCCCUCAGCUUUCGAGGACCCGUCUAGGUCGCCGUACCACGAGUCGUUUUCAUAAAAUUAAGCUUUUUGGGUAUCAAGACUCAAUUCAUGCGAUUAUCCAUGAUCUGCUUGAUUGUCUAAAACUCGUAGAUUAAUGAAUUCAGCAAUUUUUAAUUAACUUAAAAUUUCACACACGGACAAUCGAGACAUUAACUUCACUAAAAUAAAUCACUCAGCCUUUUUAAAAUAAAUUGCACGAACCGGUCAAUAAUCUGUAAACGUGUCGACAAUUCAAGAACUGUUGGCCAUGCCCUUUUAAAACUCACAAUUUCAAAAGUACCAAGAUACGUGUCACGCGUAGCAUGGAUAUCUAGGGAGUACUCGUAUAUCUUGACUCUAGGCCCGACUUGAGACGGCUCAAGUCGUGGUAUACGAGUUCUCUUUAGACCACUUCCGGGCGGAACAAUCGAUUUCUCGGCUCUUUCGGGAUCCUCACGACCCCGGUAGAUUUCAGGGAUCGGUCGACACCGGCUAUUGACUUUCGAUAAUCCGAAUAACGUAAUCUUGAUUUUUUAUGCACACACAUUUUCCGGUUCAAGGGCAUGACCAUCAGUUCUUGACUUGCCGACACCCUAGGCAUUAGGAUGGCCGAAACAUAUCGAAUAGGAAACAGGUGGACACCUGUCAAGGUACGAUUGUCACUCGUAUGCCCCCUCUUUUCCAUCGGUAUGUUUUUGUCACCCUAGUGUAGAUUCGGGCUCUUAGGGAAUUGGAUUAGAGGCACGAGCGAGAACUACACGUGAAGGGUUGUCCGAUCCCACAUGGGUCAUGUGUAGAGAUCUUGGCACCCACAUGGUAUUUCGUCCUCCCAUUUCCCUACGUUUGUGCUUAGAACCGGUCAAAACACGAAAGACAUGUUAAUCUCGAACCCGACUUAAUCAAACAAGGGCAAAUAGUCAAGUAAAAGGUUAGGUUUCGGGUUUUAGGCGAAAACACACUCUUGUCAUAAUCUGUAAAAGCUACAUUAUCACGAUACAUAACAAUCUCAAAACAAUCCACGCAUUCGAGACUUGACUACAGACAUCAUGUAUGUCGGGUCCACUAAAACACCGCCGAUGCUACAUACCCUCCUGAGGCGGUCCACGACCGAUUCACACCGAAUACAUCAUCUUGUUUGCUUGUUUAUGAUAGGAAUUUGCUUGCCAAGUAACCCCGGUUCAUAACCUGAUAAAUCACAUAAGCCCGGCAAUAAUACACAACUUGUUUGUUUUCUUCUGUAUUGAUAUGCUUUUGUCUGUUUUUCUCCGUCUUCUUGUGGGUCGAGUCCGAUCCUUUAGGAUACGAUUCACACAAGGUCCAAAGGCCAUAACCGUCGAUCACGGGGUCCAACGCCCCACGCACUUGAGCGCGCGCGACCCGAUUGCAAUAUGGGGUUUUGCCUUGGGUCACUGUCUUGACUCGGUUAGUAUCCACGUGGAGGAUGACUCGGGUCAAGACACAUGAAACGAGGUUAGACAAUCACCCAAGAGCUCGACUGGUCCCACAGCUAUCUCGAUGACCAUUCCGUCCUCUUGAAAAUCCGUCGAUUCGAUCGGACACGAUCUCCGGCUUUUAUGAGCCCGCAUUGCUUUAAUUUUAGUUUUGGUGUUUUUCCUAAACAUACGGUGAGUCUGAGUUGAAUAAUGAUCGAACGCGAACCGACCGGGAUUCAAUUAUUGUAAUUUGUAUUUUUAUUUAUUUAAGAGAACAAUAUAAAUAUUUAUUUUGUAUAUUUAUUCAUGUAAGAAUUCCGGUCGAAGAGUGAACGGUACGAGUACUAAAUCGGUUCAGUUGAUCUACUUACCUAGGGACGAGUAAACCAAUGCUUCGCGGUUUCGGUUCGCGCGAGACGCUGACCAUCGCAGUCCGAUGAACCGUUACAUGAGGAUAGUAAGUCGAUUUCUCGAUGUACGGGCCUACUCCUUUCUCGGGUUCUUAGUCUGAAUCGAUCGUUUUCUCUGAGCGCAGCUUAAUCAUGCGAUAAAUAAAUAAAAGUGGCAAGCUAUAGGCAAACAGAGUACCGAUAGGGAGUGCGGGAUAUAAGCCCGCACGUAACAAAACCCCCGAAUCCAAAAUUUCUGGUUUUGCAAGACCAAUACCUUAGGAAACUAGGUGUAUCCCAUCCUCCUAGACCCGGACAACUCACCAACCCUUGGCUUUUGGGUUGUAAAUAAGUAGUGACAACUCCUUCUCACGCGUGUUCGUCACGCAUCUACACAGAAAGGUGGACACUCCCAAGCCAUGCAAUCGAUCGCAUGUAUGCUGGCCUUGACAAGAUAAAAUUUGGGUCCGCACACCUACGAAUUGUUAUUGUGGGUUCGUAGCUCACUAUCUAACCACAAGAGAAUUUGGGGAGAUUACACGAAGGUCCAUUGACGAUGGCACCACAUCAUCAAAGGAAAAAUACUUCAGCUACUGGUCAAGUCAGUUAUACUCAAUCCCAAUCCUAUCUUGGUUUGCCAACAGCUCCUCAAAGCAUGUCGCCUCAAGUGGGAACUGCUAAUCAAACUGGUAGCCCGGUUGCCCCUACACUAGCUAAUUUAUUAACCUAAGGUUUAUUCUUUUUCAUAUUUACCCUUGUUUCAUAUUCUAACUACUUGUUCAUCUUGUAUAUGUUAACUUUCUUAUAUUAUUCAUAGGUACUACUUCUGCUACCAGAAAGAGAGGUUGUGGUUUAGCUAGAGGUUUUCAAGUCACGAAACGGCUUAAGGAGGGCAGAAAAAUUGAUGGAGUUAUCAUUUCUGAAGAUAACUACAAACCUGUAGGCUCAACUAAGAAAAUAUUUAGAUGAAGUUAGGCAUAAUCACCCGGUUACUAGCUCCCCCUUCAAGUAUUUUAUUGGAAGAGAAAUAAAAAUGAGAUGAAAGAGCCACUAUUUGCUCGUCUACAGGUAAGAGAAACUAUGAAUAUUCUAAUUUAAUUUAAGAUAUAUUAUGUGUUGCAUGUAUCUAGGAUGACUUUAGCUGCAAAUUUGAUGCUGAAAUGUGAUAAAACAAGCAUAUUUAUUUUCUUACUCUUUACUUUGGCUCUGUAGAGUGAAUUUCAAAUUUCUCUGUUUGAGCCACAUGCAAGAGAAGUGGUAGAUGCAACAAUGGUAGAUCAUUAUAGGCAAUUCUAGCGUAAUUGCUGCAAAUCCUAUUGAUGUGGAGGAGAUAGAUUGGAUUCCAUUAUGUGAGCAUUUCGAGAGUGAUGAAUUUAAGGUUUUUUUUUUAUCUAGUUAGCAUUUUUUUUCCUGCCCCUUUGUUUACCAUAUGCAUGCCCUUUAUGCAAGUAAAUGUAUUUUUUAAUGUAGCGUGCUAGCAAGGUAAAUACUGCCAAUCGGUUGAAGCUUGAGGUGAAUCAUACAUCAGGUUCAAAAUCAUAUUAUCAUCGUAUGUAUGAAAUGGUGAGAUUGAGGAUGACUUCAAAAUGUUUUAUACUAAAUUUAAUCAAUGACUGAUAUGUCGCCUCAUUUAUAAUUAUGUGUUGGAAAUCUCUGAGGAGCCUCAAUUGGUGCCUAAAGAAGUCGGUGUGUAUUAUGAUGCCCAUCACAAGAGGGCUACCGGCACAUGGAUCCAUCCAAAAGCUCAAGAGAACCAUGAAUAAAUGAAGGCUUCGCAUGCACAACCAACAGAGAAUGACAUUCUAUUAACAAGAAGCAAGAUAUUUCAGGAAGUUGUGAAGCCAAAAUCUAGGUUUACUCAUGGAGUUGGCUAUGGUGCGAGGCAUCAUGCUAGGCCAAGAUCAACUCCUCGUUUCCAUGCAGAAGGUAAUGAUUCUGAGAGAGAAUCUCGUCGAGUGUUGGAGCAGAAUAUUGGAAGUCAACAAGCUCAUAUAGAAAGUCAACAAGCUCAGAUUGGAAUAUUGCAGUCAUCACAUGCCAAUCUGGAAGCUCAAAUUCGAGAUUUGCUUGGUCGACUUGAAGCAAGAGAUGCCUCUCACUCAAAUCCUUGACUGUAAAUAAAAAACUUCAACUUCUUGUUUUUCUUUUUUGGUCUAUCUAUUGGCUAUAUUGGUUAGAUUUCAAUUAUUCAAGGGACAUCAACUUCAUAGAAUAUGGAAGGAAGUUUUUUUAUUUGUCCAAUAAAUUGCAUUGGGUUACUGAAAAAAAUGAUAAGCUUGGAUUUUUCUGUAGGAUGGAACUCAUAAUUUGUCUUGACAUUCUUCCUAAUA